ACUAUUCAUUUAUAGUCGGGCUUCGGGUUGGGCUAAUUUAAAAUUUGAUAUUUUCUGUGCCUAAGCCCGGCUCAUGAUCAGUGCUCUAUGAUAAAUGUAGGUUCUUCAUACUAUUGGACAUCAGUGCAAUUUAUUCCUAAUCUUAGAAAAAAAUUUAUAAUUUACUCAAAAUUGAUAAUAUUAAAUUAGAUCUUUUUUGGUUGAUAGAAUGGGCUAUAAUUUUACAUCACCAUCCACAUAAAUAUAUAAAGUUAUUAUCUAUUAAAGCAAUACAUAAUUUAAAUUGAUUUUAUCAAAUGAAAACCAUUAUUUUGUUACUAAUACCUUCUAGAUUGUUAUAUCUUAUUAGCCGCCAUUAUUUUUAUUUAA
rnacentral:lncRNA from 1 species